rnacentral:rRNA from 1 species
UACGGAAGGCAGCAGUGGGGAAUAUUGCACAAUGGGCGCAAGCCUGAUGCAGCCAUGCCGCGUGUAUGAAGAAGGCCUUCGGGUUGUAAAGUACUUUCAGUCGUGAGGAAGGUGUUAAGGUUAAUAACCUUAGCAAUUGACGUUAGCGACAGAAGAAGCACCGGCUAACUCCGUGCCAGCAGCCGCGGUAAUACGGAGGGUGCGAGCGUUAAUCGGAAUUACUGGGCGUAAAGGGCACGCAGGCGGUUAAUUAAGUUGGAUGUGAAAUCCCCGGGCUUAACCUGGGAAUGGCAUUCAAGACUGGUUAGCUAGAGUCUUGUAGAGGGGGUUAGAAUUCCAUGUGUAGCGGUGAAAUGCGUAGAGAUGUGGAGGAAUACCGGUGGCGAAGGCGGCCCCUGGACAAAGGACUGACGCUCAUGUGCGAAAGCGUGGGGA